AAAUGCCAAAGUAACAAAAUAUUGAGAUGGCUCCCUACAUUGUGCCAUCAGGAUAUGUUUGCACCCCAACUGAUAGAUACAGCUUGAUAUUUUUGCAGGAUAUUAUUUAUUCAGGAUAUUUUUGCACCCCAACUGAUAGAUACAUUGUGCCAUCAGGAUAUUUUUGCACCCCAACUGAUAGAUACAGCUAUUUUGGUGGAGUCCCCUCCCCAAUUUUAAGGUGCUUCCAGUCUGCUAUGUGUAGAUGGUAUAGUGUCGGUACACCACACUACAAUUAUACUGUGUCUGGUUCAGAAACUUUUUUAAUUCCCAUAUUUCUUUCUUUUCCCUGAGCCAAUGGCAUGUCAGCACCAGUCCGGACAAUAUCCAAGGGGGAGGGUACUAAUUCUGCUCAGAUAUUUUAAUUCACCCAGAAAGUGAAUUCAGUGCACCAUGGGUGCCAUCCAGGAGCUAGUAUGUACAACAGUAAGUGGAUGGUCAUUUCACUGAUUGCAAAAUUAGGGUGAACUAC